CAGCGGCACAGAAAAGCUCCUGACAGACGCCGUGCAGAGAUCAGGGAAAUUGGAGGAAGGUUUUGAUCAUUUCUGUAACUAGAUAUUACUUCCAAGACUCACAGAAACUCUGCAAGGUUGCCUUCGCUUUAUGAACAAAGAAACUAAGGUUCAGAGAACUGAAGCAAAUUUCCCAAGGAUACCCAACAAGGAGUUAAACGUGCCACAGAAUUCAAACUAUGAUUAUUUUAUUCUGAAGGAAAGAUGGCCUCAAAAAAAGCUGUUGAGAGCAGCUCUAAAGGCAGAAGAAAUCUGUGAGAAGUGAACCUGAAUCCAUCAGGCCAAAGCAACAGCCGAGGAAGAAGAGAGGUGACCAGCAGGGAGAAGUCUGAGCUUUGUGUGAUGCCCUGUAGAUGUGGUCUUUCCAGAAGAACAUCGUCCACAGUGACCAACCAAAAGUGUGGGGAGCAUGGAGAAGAAAAGGCAAGUGGAUGCACUUAGUUCCCCAUCUUCUUGUCUUCUUUCGUUCUGAGGCACAACAGAUUGUUCCUUGAUGGGGGUUAGAAACCAGGGAGAAGAAAGCAUAUUCUGUACCGUGAGCAACUUAAGAUUUAGAGACAGCUACAGAGAAGCAGAGAAAGACAGAGAGAGAGGGGGGAAAGAGGAAGAAGAAGAAGAAGAAAAGACAAGCUAAGAUAAAAAUCAUUCCCACUUAUAUAGCUGGAAUGUUUAUAAUGUAAAGAGACAGCUGCAUUAAAGGAUUAGGCCCCACUGCCUGAUUAACAUCAUUUGAUCUUUUGCUAUUGAAAAGACCCUGUGUAUUUUCAAAGGCAGUGGGUUUCUUAAAUAAAACCAGGAGUCUGGGUUGCAGAAAGCUGUUAAGAACAACUCACUUUUAGUUUAGUAAUCUUUUUGUCCUACCUGCUUCAUAAUCUUCAGUUUCCU